AACAUGCUGAGGGUGACAGAGAGACCGGGAGAGGUGUCUUCUGGGUCUUUUACGAGAGGAAGAGGUCUUCUGCGAGAGACAUGCACAGAAAGAAGAAGAGGGAAAUUCACAUCGCCAGACUGAUCGGAGAGAGAAGGAGAAGAGGGGGACGAGAAGAAGAAAAAGAGGAAUCUGGAUUGCCCGACUGUGCCGAUUAGGUCCUCCACAAGCGGAAGGAGUUUCUGGGUCUUUUACUUUUCCACUUCUACCAGAAGCCUGUACGAUUAUUUCUGUCUUCUUCGAUGAUGAUUGCUUUAAAUUCUCGGCGUGACAUCAUUGAGAUUGCCCAACGUAGAGAGAAAGAGAAGUGUGCCGAUCAGGUCUUCCACAAGCGGAAGGAGUUUCUAGGUCUUCUACUUUUCCACUUCUACUGUACGAUUAUUUCUGUCUUCUUCAAUGAUGAUUGGUUUAAAUUCUGGGUGAUUGAAGUAAAUCAGACAUUGUAUUGAUAGAGAAGUAAAUUUUAGAUUUUGUUUCUUUUCAUGGAAUUUGAUGGUUUUUGGGUUUAAUUCUAUGGCUGUCUCUCUACCUUUGCUACUUUCAGUUUUAAUUUCAUAUGUUCAACCAAGACAUUGACAUUGAUUUGGGUAA